rnacentral:rRNA from 1 species
UCAUCUCCGGGGGUAGAGCACUGUUUCGGCAAGGGGGUCAUCCCGACUUACCAACCCGAUGCAAACUGCGAAUACCGGAGAAUGUUAUCACGGGAGACACACGGCGGGUGCUAACGUCCGUCGUGAAGAGGGAAACAACCCAGACCGCCAGCUAAGGUCCCAAAGUCAUGGUUAAGUGGGAAACGAUGUGGGAAGGCCCAGACAGCCAGGAUGUUGGCUUAGAAGCAGCCAUCAUUUAAAGAAAGCGUAAUAGCUCACUGGUCGAGUCGGCCUGCGCGGAAGAUGUAACGGGGCUAAACCAUGCACCGAAGCUGCGGCAGCGACGCUGAUGCGUUGUUGGGUAGGGGAGCGUUCUGUAAGCCUGCGAAGGUGUGCUGUGAGGCAUGCUGGAGGUAUCAGAAGUGCGAAUGCUGACAUAAGUAACGAUAAAGCGGGUGAAAAGCCCGCUCGCCGGAAGACCAAGGGUUCCUGUCCAACGUUAAUCGGGGCAGGGUGAGUCGACCCCUAAGGCGAGGCCGAAAGGCGUAGUCGAUGGGAAACAGGUUAAUAUUCCUGUACUUGGUGUUACUGCGAAGGGGGGACGGAGAAGGCUAUGUUGGCCGGGCGACGGUUGUCCCGGUUUAAGCGUGUAGGCUGGUUUUCUAGGCAAAUCCGGAAAAUCAAGGCUGAGGCGUGAUGACGAGGCACUACGGUGCUGAAGCAACAAAUGCCCUGCUUCCAGGAAAAGCCUCUAAGCAUCAGGUAACAUCAAAUCGUACCCCAAACCGACACAGGUGGUCAGGUAGAGAAUACCAAGGCGCUUGAGAGAACUCGGGUGAAGGAACUAGGCAAAAUGGUGCCGUAACUUCGGGAGAAGGCACGCUGAUAUGUAGGUGAAGUCCCUUGCGGAUGGAGCUGAAAUCAGUCGAAGAUACCAGCUGGCUGCAACUGUUUAUUAAAAACACAGCACUGUGCAAACACGAAAGUGGACGUAUACGGUGUGACGCCUGCCCGGUGCCGGAAGGUUAAUUGAUGGGGUCAGCGCAAGCGAAGCUCUUGAUCGAAGCCCCGGUAAACGGCGGCCGUAACUAUAACGGUCCUAAGGUAGCGAAAUUCCUUGUCGGGUAAGUUCCGACCUGCACGAAUGGCGUAAUGAUGGCCAGGCUGUCUCCACCCGAGACUCAGUGAAAUUGAACUCGCUGUGAAGAUGCAGUGUACCCGCGGCAAGACGGAAAGACCCCGUGAACCUUUACUAUAGCUUGACACUGAACAUUGAGCCUUGAUGUGUAGGAUAGGUGGGAGGCUUGGAAGUGUGGACGCCAGUCUGCAUGGAGCCGACCUUGAAAUACCACCCUUUAAUGUUUGAUGUUCUAACGUUGACCCGUAAUCCGGGUUGCGGACAGUGUCUGGUGGGUAGUUUGACUGGGGCGGUCUCCUCCUAAAGAGUAACGGAGGAGCACGAAGGUUGGCUAAUCCUGGUCGGACAUCAGGAGGUUAGUGCAAUGGCAUAAGCCAGCUUGACUGCGAGCGUGACGGCGCGAGCAGGUGCGAAAGCAGGUCAUAGUGAUCCGGUGGUUCUGAAUGGAAGGGCCAUCGCUCAACGGAUAAAAGGUACUCCGGGGAUAACAGGCUGAUACCGCCCAAGAGUUCAUAUCGACGGCGGUGUUUGGCACCUCGAUGUCGGCUCAUCACAUCCUGGGGCUGAAGUAGGUCCCAAGGGUAUGGCUGUUCGCCAUUUAAAGUGGUACGCGAGCUGGGUUUAGAACGUCGUGAGACAGUUCGGUCCCUAUCUGCCGUGGGCGCUGGAGAACUGAGGGGGGCUGCUCCUAGUACGAGAGGACCGGAGUGGACGCAUCACUGGUGUUCGGGUUGUCAUGCCAAUGGCACUGCCCGGUAGCUAAAUGCGGAAGAGAUAAGUGCUGAAAGCAUCUAAGCACGAAACUUGCCCCGAGAUGAGUUCUCCCUGACCCUUUAAGGGUCCUGAAGGAACGUUGAAGACGACGACGUUGAUAGGCCGGGUGUGUAAGCGCAGCGAUGCGUUGAGCUAACCGGUACUAAUGAACCGUGAGGCUUAACCUU